rnacentral:rRNA from 1 species
UACGGGGGGGGCGAGCGUUGUUCGGAAUUACUGGGCGUAAAGGGCUCGUAGGCGGCCAACUAAGUCAGGCGUGAAAUCCCUCAGCUUAACUGGGGAACUGCGUCUGAUACUGGAUGGCUUGGAUUCGGGAGAGGAAUGCGGAAUUCCAGGUGUAGCGGUGAAAUGCGUAGAUAUCUGGAGGAACACCGGUGGCGAAGGCGGCAUUCUGGACCGAUAUUGACGCUGAGGAGCGAAAGCCAGGGGAGCAAACGGG